AUAAAUUCAACAAACAUCAAUAAUGAGUUAAUAUCCCACAUUUAAAGUGCUUCAAUAAGCGCUACAAUGCUAAUGUUUGUAAACUCUUCACAGUUGUGUUCUGUGGGUGCCAAGAUCCAUAGGUAUGGCGCUAAUAUUGAUGAAAACUCAAUACAUAAAUGUAUAAGUAUUCCCCAAUGCAAUUCUGAAGUCUUAUACAUCCACAGUGCAAUUUCAUUCCACUAUUUGUAUCAGUUUACAUGUUUCAAUGAGGGACUUUUAAUUUUAAGGCAAACCACCGAUUCUACUAUUGUUGUUCACGAUAAUGUUGUUCAUGACACACGUGUGCCCACUGACGGAAUAUAAUGUUCCCUUCCCUCCAAUAAUAUUCCCAAAACGAUUAGCCUCAACUCCAAAAUAACUAUGCAUUAUGAAAGUAUUUGCGUAGCCUAUUCACACAUUGCAUAGCUCAGACUGGAUAUUCAUUCAACUGCAGCAUUUCUAACGUUGUAGAUUCAUUCACUUGCUUGUGCGAAUCUGAAAAAAAGGAAGUCAAUAUACAGAAUUUCCGGUGUGAAGAAAUCAACCACCACUGUGGCGCCAUCCAAUGUUUUUAGCUUCAGACACGAGCCGGCAUGAGCUUUAUAAAAAUCUUUAAAGUAGGCUAGUUGUCAUAAACAACUACAGGACGGGAACGCUGACUUGUAAUAAUGAUGUUAUAAGCACAUGUGAAACGCUAAUUCGCUCAGGGAGAACGAGGAAUAUUUGUCACAUAUCGAGGGGAGCAGCAGCAUCCUUGUUCACGCGGACACAUGCUUCUGCAUCGAGACGAGAGGCACCAGCACCAGGGUCUGACUCUGACAACAGACCGAAUCUGAGAACCAUCGACCUUCACGCAAAGUUCGCCUGGAAAAACAGAAAGGAAAGGCAACUGGUCAGAAGAGACUCCCUUAUCCUCGGUGUCAGUUGCCGCGUUCGUAUGCUAGUCGACUCGUAUUUUUAUUUAUUUAUUUAACAAGGCAAGUCAGUUAAGAAUAAAUUCUUAUUUACAAUGGUGGCCUACUCCGGCCAAACCCGGACUACGCGGGGACCAUUGUGCGCCGCCCUAUGGGACUCCCAAUCACGGCCGGAUGUGAUACAGCCUGGAUUCAAACUAGGUACUAGUGACACCUCUUGCACUGAGAUGCAGUGCCUUAGACCGCUGCGCCACUCGGGAGCCCGGUAUGUGAUUGCUGCAAGUGUCCCCACUGCCAAAAGAGGUUCAUCGAGCUGCGACAGUUCACUCAGCAGCGGAGUAAUAUUCACCCCGACGUUCUGGCCAAGCACCUUCAAAAGAGGUCUGAUUCUCCCACACCCAGAGCUCGCUGUCAUCAAUAAGCCAUAUGGAGCUUCUGUUCAAGGUAUUGGGGCAAUGUAUUUACAUGCCUAUUACAUUAUGGUACAUAAGGCUUAAAUGGUCAAACACACAGUCAAGGAUUAUAUCAUGAAAGAGAUUGUUCAUUUGAAUAUCACUAGUAACAAAUACAACAUAAUACCAUGAGGUGUUUUCAAAAAUCACUGUGAUUUAAAUCCAGUAAUCUUCCCCAUAAAUGGGUCAAAGGAAUAUUAUGGGCGUCUUCCAGUCCUUGCCAAGGUGAUGGAUGGCUUGAGAGCUGAGCCCCACUCCCAGCUGAAUGUCCGCCUUGGAUUGGACGAGGAGACAACAGGUACCCUCUUGCUGGAAAGGACUGAAGAAGCACCGGACUAUGUACAAAACCUCCACAAAAAAACACCAAGUGGAGAGGAAAUAUUGGUGUGUGGAUGUCUAUGUGUGUUUAGAGAUUUAGUUUAAGAUAAGGAUCCAGGCAGCACAUCAUAUGCCAUAGAGUUUUUGUAAUGACCCUGCCGUUGACAAAUAGCUCCCUAGUUUUCUUGGAGCAGCGGUGAUGUGUCUGGCCCUGGACCCAAGGGUUAUUGGGCUCCAUUCACACCUUAAAUCACAUUUUAUUGAUCGCAUACACAUAGCAGAUGUUAUUGCGGGGGUAGUGAAAUGCUUGUGUUCCUAGCUCCAACAGUGCAGUAGUAUCUAACAAGCAGUGACAUAGCCUCUGAACCUCAUGCUACUUCCUGGUUUCAUUACACUUUAUCUUCCUUUUUCCCUAUUCCCCCAUGCAGCAUUGCUGCUGUGGCCUGUUCCCUCUGAGGGGAUGAUUUGACAACCCUCAUAGAGAGAGAAUUGACCUGGGCUCAGGCUCACUUCAAGAUAGGCCUGAGUACAGGGUGAGUGUCGGCGGCGAGGGAGUGACUAACGUGCAGGCCCAGGGGGCAGUGACCCAGUACGUGUCCUGGACAGCAGCAACAGCCUUGUGGAGCUCCAGCCCAUCACAGGGGUGAGGAUCCAUAUGGCAUACGCUCUGGGAUGUCAUAUCCUUGGGGACCACAAAUACUCCCACUUGACAAAAACUUCCACCUUAGAAACUGCUGGACGGUUUGUUACCGAGGCUGGGAUUGGAACAAAACAAGGCACGUCGCCGCCUUCCCUAAGCCUGCACGCACGUCAGCUGACACUGCCAGUGAUAUCACUGCCCCCUGCUGAUGAAGUACUUCACCACCAGCACCCUGUGACAACUGCAGAUCCCCAUUCCAGAUAAGAAAGAUGAAUGAUGCAUCAGCGGCUCCUCUGCAGAGCAGACAGGAUACAGAAGACUCUUAAAAUCAGAAAUACGGCGCGGCAUCACUUCAAGUGACCCUUGACCUAAUGGUUGACCAAGUCCAAGAGCUAAGGCCUGACUGAAAUUCUUAAAAGCCACACACACACUCUCUUUCUCUCAUUCACAGUACAAAGGCACGUUUGAAAAAAAAAAAACAUACUUUCUUAUUUAGUCUCCAACACCACUAGAAUAUCAAUACAUACAGGAGAUCAUAAAUGCCAAUAAAAAUACAUGUAAAAAAGUGAG